rnacentral:rRNA from 1 species
UACGAAGGGGGCGAGCGUUGUUCGGAAUUACUGGGCGUAAAGGGCGCGCAGGCGGCUCUUCAAGUCAGGCGUGAAAGCCCCGGGCUUAACCUGGGAAUUGCGCUUGGGACUGGAGGGCUUGAGUACGGGAGAGGAGAGUGGAAUUCCCAGUGUAGAGGUGAAAUUCGUAGAUAUUGGGAAGAACACCGGUGGCGAAGGCGGCUCUCUGGACCGUAACUGACGCUGAGGCGCGAAAGCGUGGGGAGCAAACAGGG